rfam:Triticum aestivum genome assembly, contig: Triticum_aestivum_CS42_TGACv1_scaffold_145993_2BS
AUUAUACUCCCUCCGUUCGGAAUUACUUGUCUCGGAAAUGGAUGUAUCUAGAACUAAAAUACGUCUAGAUACAUCCAUUUCUGCGACAAGUAAUUCCGAACGGUGGGAGUAUUAC